GAUGAAGAACGUAGCGAAAUGCGAUAAGUAAUGCGAAUUGCAGAAUUUCCGUGAGUCAUCGAAUCUUUGAACGCACAUUGCGCCCACUGGUAUUCCGGUGGGCAUGCCUGUUCGAGCGUCAUUAUCCUCCCUCAAACCCCGGGUCUGGUGUUGGACCCAAGUUGUGUGAACAACUGGUCUCAAAGACAAUGACGGCGUCCGUGGGACCCUCGGUGCAACGAGCUUUUAGGAGCACGCAUCGAGUUGCAAGGACCUUCCGGGCCGGUCUCCUUUACCAUUUUACAAGGUUGACCUCGGAUCAGGUAGGAAUACCCGCUGAACUUAAGCAUAUCAAUAAGCGGAGGA
rnacentral:misc_RNA from 1 species